UAACAAUUCCUGAUGCUUCAAAAGUGUGCACUUACUGCGAUAAAGUUUUUUCCACCUCCUGUAACAAACGAGCUCAUGAACGUCGACAGCAUGGUGUGAACCCUGGCCCUGUAUCCCAUUCAGAUGGCCCAACUAUUGUGCAAUGUACAGAAUGCAAUGUGACUUUUGCUACCCUUACUGCUUACAGGGAACACCUUUCUUUAGUCCAUGACAUUGAGAUUCACAAAGCUCAGCAUGAGUUUACUUCUGAGGAAGAUUUCUUGAGAUGGAAAGACUGUAUGGAACUGGACAUUGGAGUCAAUUACACGGCUCAUUCUGGACCAAAGAAAUCAUGUGAUGGCACCAAACAGAUAUUCUACUGUCGAAGAUCAGGUGUUCAGUCAACGAAGAUUUCCAGUAAGAGUCGUGCAGAAAAGAGCCAAGGUACCUGUAAGAUGGGGUUUUACUGCACCUCAUCAAUUGAAGUUGUGAAGAAGGAUGAAAAGAUUUGUGUAACCUUUUACUCUGACCAUCGUGAUCACAACCUUGAUUUUAACAGCCAGGUUCACAUGACACUUCCCAAGAGUGAACAGGAUAAGAUUGCAGGUAUGAUUACACAAGGGAUCGAACAUGACAUAAUUUUGGACAGAGUGCGGGAGUCAGCAGGCAGUAAUCGAAUGUCUUUCUUAGAAAAGAAGGAUAUAGAUAAUAUUUGUGUUAGGUAUGGAUUGAAUAAAACCCACAGCAGACACUCUGAUGACAGCACAAGUGUACGAUUAAUUGUUAAAGAAAUGCAGGAUGCCAAUGAAGUCUUGUAUUUCAAAGAUCAAGGAGAUGUAGAUUCAGAUAAUCCUGAAAUACCAUCCAAAGAAUUUGUAUUAGGUUUUAUGAAAGGGGGACAAGAAUUAAUAUUUUCUACCCAGAUGAAAUCUUGUGACAAGAUACAGGUAUGCAUGGAUUCAACUCAUUGCAUUAGCCAAUAUUCAGGAUUCCAGAAAUAGCCAAACCUAAGGUGUCAACAGAAGAAAUUAAUAUGAUUCAUGAUGUAAGUAAUGAGGAAACCUAUGAUAGACAAGUUGUGAAAUACCAGGAACAAUUGAAAAACAAAAUUAGGUUACAGCUUCUCCCAAAAUGUAGUGAAAGUAAGGACCUUCAAGUUUUGAAAACUGCUAAUAGCUUGUUGUGUAAGUUAAUUGCAACAUUAGAUGCUGGCACGAGUUAUCCACCAAACAACAGUAACUGGCCUGUGGAUGUGACAACUGUUUCAGAGCCAGGUAA